UGGGUAAAGGAUAAGGGACAUUUUAGCCACAUUCCGGGUAUAUCCCCUAAAAUUCCUCCAGCUCACCCGAUCUGCCAAGAGAUGGCGGGCGCUUCUUGAUUUGCACAUUGUAUCAGUGAUUGGUCAAUCUGGCACCAUCCUGCUACGAGCGCUCAUCUGGGAAACAUAAAGAAGAUCGAAGGACCGGAUCGGCAAGGGAUCGGGGGUCGGGAAAGUCAAGUUUUUUCCUGCCGGGCUGAUGGUUUGGGGUCUACGUCAUCUUCAUCAUCAUCAUCAUCAUCAUCAUCAUCAUCAUCAUCAUCACUAUCAUUAUGGCAUCUCCAGCACCUUAGACAAUGAGGCCCUUUGUUACUGCUGGUGAUAGAACCAUUAUUGCCCCUGAUUGAGGAGAUAAAGUAUCAACUAUAUAUUUAUUAUUAUUAUUAUAUUUAUUAUUUAUUUAUAUAGCGCCCUUGGUUCCAGGACACUUUACAUAUGAUUCAACAAAUACAAUGAAUUCACACCCGGAAUAUAGCACAAGGGUAGAAGUGUGACUAACGGGGUCAGCAGUGGAAAGUUCUAUGUAUAGAAGAUGUGUGCGCUGAUCUAUACUACUGGAAAUGAUAAGACACAACAUAACAUGGACGCAAUACAACAUCCCCUGCAGAGACGUAAGAGCGAGCGCGCACAAUAGACAAGGUGGAGGAAAUCAUCGAGAACGGCCUCGGGGGGGAACAUUCCUACAAUAAGAACCAGACAAGGCUGGUGCGAUAACACGCGGGCAGGAAACCCGCAGCCCCCCCAGACCGAGCCUUUCAUGUGGGAAACGUAAGAUCUGGAACAAAAUGGCGGCAAUUUAUUACAGGAAGGAGGACGCGGCCUUGAAAUAACAGCACGUGCGGGGUCACAUGACAACUAUGGAGACAAUGGGAACCCCGAGUCAUCUACACGCACGUCCCCCCAGAU